CUUUAUUUACAUCAUUUUAAUUUCUUUCAAGCAAGAGAGAAAAGAAAAACAGAAGAACAGAGUGAUUAAUUUCAAACGUGUUAUUACUAUCUGCAAAGAGUUUUAUAAAAGCACAAAAAGGAAGGGAUUUGGGGUUUUAUAUUUUGAACAGCAAUAUAAAAAUACGAUGUUGGUUCAAAUGUCAGUUAAGGUCCAUACUGACAGCUACAAUUUUUUUUAUUGGACAUAUUUUACUGAGUAUUGAACACUUGUUUAUAUAGGCACUGAUUGAAGAAUAACACCACAAAGUCAAAAUGAUAAAGUGCAGACCUGGACUGAGAAGCAGGCCUGGUAAGGCAGUCUACUCCUACAACUCAGCAAAAAGAAGGAAAAAAAAAAAAAGAAGAAGAAACUGCCAUUAUAAGAGAAGAACUGCAUGAUAAUUUAUGUGGUGGCAGAACUACAUAAGGUUUCCUACAAGGUCCAGAGAUGAAAAAAAUGGUCUUUUCCUCUUCAUUAUGUUUCCAGAAGUGCCAUAUGACUGUAACCUGUGUGUGUAUAUGGCAGUUAUGUUUUCAAAUAAAAAUGUAUGCACUUAACAAACUCCAGCCCAGUAAGGAGGUUUGCAAGCAGUGACCAAGGCUGUGAUCAGAAUGGCUGAGCCGAGGAAGCUGAUGUGGGUCACUACUGAUGGGCUGCACUAGAUCUCCUGCUUGCAUAGGUUCUCCCCCUAAGAAGAUGUGUGAGUUAAAAAGGCUACUUCAGCAUAUCCUGACCUUUCCACACCUCACAAGGGCAGUUUUCUACAGUUCUCAGUAACAUAAAAAAAACAUAUAAUUUCCAGAGUUUGCACACAUCCAAAAACAAACAAACAAAAAAAGGUAGAAAACAAGAGGGAGAAUAAAAACUAAUAUAAGCUAAAACAUUAUUCUGUAGUAAACAAUAGAAUAUAACGUGCAAUAGUGCAAUUUCUCCUUUGCUGCUCCAACAGUGAAGUCUUGACAGAUAGUCCACUGAAUUUUGGCGUAGGGCAUUUCACAUCUAGCUGCGAGCUUGCCGGGCAUUGCUGGGCUUCCCAGUCUUCAGCGCCGAAUCACUUUGUCCCGGCUCUCCUUUCCCUUUGCCGAGGUGGCGGAGCUUUUGAUCCCAGCGCUUUACUUUUUUACCAAGUCGAUCCUUCCAUUUCUCAGCUAUGGAGCCUUCCACCAAGAGUAACCUGGAGCGCUCCUCAUCUUCGUAGCCCAUAAUGAUGUACUCUUCAUUGGCACUGAGUGGUGGACAGAGGCAGCCGGAGUUUGUGUAAAGGUUUACAGUGUCCUUUGGGAUGUUCACCAGGGAAGAUUUGAGAAUCUCUUUUACUUCCACUACUGCAGUGACAUCAUGACAUUUAGUCUUCACCUCCUUCACUUUUGCUCGAAUGACAUAGUUGUAAUUGUUGCGUAGAUAGGUCUUCUGGGUAGCUUUUAUGGGUUUGCAUUUGCAGCGUUCAAUGCCAGUGCCUCUACAGUUGCCAUUAUUAGAAUCCAUUGGGAAAUCGGCGCCCUCGGCGGUGACGAUGGCCUCGGGGGAGAUGCAGACGCCGCGGUCGUAGAGCGGCAGCUCGUCGCAGGCCAGGCUCUCGGGCCACGCGUGGCGGUAGCGGAUGAGGACGGGCUCGCAGCCGGCGCGGGCGCGCUCGCAGACGGACUUGCAGGGCUUGAUGGGCUCGUGCUGGAAGUCGAUGGUGCAGAUGGGCGCGUACAUGGCGCAGAGGAAGAAGAGCAGGUCCGGGCUGCAGUUGGUGCCCAGCAGCCCCUCGAACUGCUCCAUGGCCAGCACGGCGUUGGCCUGCGUGCUGUGAUGCAGGUGGUUCGGCAUCUUGGUCAUGUUCCAGGGCAGCGGCUUGCAUAGCGGGAUGCGCACCGCCUCGCAGGCCGCCGCCCGCCCCGCCGGCGCCCGCCCCAGCAGCAGCAGCGCGGCCAGGGCCAGCGCCGGCAGCCCCCGCCACAUGCCGCCGACGGCCCCGAGCUCAGGGGCCGAGCGCCGCGCCCGCCACUCCGCUCCGCGCCUCGGCCCGACCCCGGCACCGCCCCCGGGCGGGCGGGCAGGGAGGGGUCGCGGCCGGGGCCGGGCCGGGCGGAACAAAGGGGCCGGGCGGGGAGCGGGGAAGGCGGCGGGGCCGCGCUGCUCGUGCCCGAGGGCGGCCCCUCGCAGCGCGCGGUCCGAGAGGAAGCGCCGUGCGGAGAGCGAGCGGCGGCCGGUGGCCGGCGCGUCCCGCACCCGGCGAGGAGCGCACCUGGCGGCCCCGGCUUCUUUUAGGACGGCGUGCGACUCUCGGCCCUGCGUUUGGCUUCCCGUCACCUGUUGGCGUGCGCACAGAACAGGUUUAGAACGUUUCCUGUGCUUUGGCUCCAAAGAGUUUUCCUUCAAAGUAUUUUUCCUUCGAGGAGUUCUCACUGAAUGCUUUUAAGGUUUUAUUUUAGAAAACCAAAACGGAAAAUUUCUAGCGCCGUUGCCUACGUUUGAGUUCAAAGCUCCUAACAAAUACCCCCUGCGUGAGGAAAGCUGUGGUCCCAGUGGCAAUUGUCCAGGACAGACGAGGAGGGGACAACACCAACAACUGCAGCGGCACAGUGCACACGCAGACUGAUGCUCAACACAUACAAUGGGAGCUCAGAAUUCCAACCAAUUCACUCCCAGGCACAGCACUCUCUUCAGACUGACUACAUCUGCCAGAAUGCUGGUGGAUGCUGAGCAUUUCGGCAUCAAAAUCAAGGAGGCAGGAAAAGGGCUUUGCUUUGGGUGCCGCUGCUCUGCCCUUCAUCUUCUCCUGUUGCGAAGGAACACACUGCUCUGCAGCUUGCACCAAGCACAGUGUCGCACCCUCAUGCUCCUCAACAUGCUCCCUCACCGUGGGUAGCAGAAAUAUGUCCUGAAAAUGGGUCCAUCUAACAGAAGCAGCCAUGUUACGGCCACACGAGCUCAGUGUGGUGUGCAAUCAGCACUAACUUCGUGAUGAAAACAUGCCUGGGGUUUCCUGGUGAGCUCUGAGACAGUAGUGCAGACCCAUAACAUUAAGGAAUAACAGCAAUACAGCAUUAAUAUCACCCUAAGUCAUUUCCUAGAACAAACCAGUCCACAGCAAGGAUGGGUCCUCAGGCAGGGAUUUGCUCCUGGAGGAGCUCAUAUGCAGAAGAAAGACAAAGUUUGUUAUUGUUACUGCGUCCCCGCCAGAACCCUGGUAAUCCACCGCAGCACAAAGCAGAUCUCAAGGCCAGGCUGCCCUCAUUACUCUUGUAUAACCCCUCUAAAAAAAGUGAAAACAAUAAAUCAGCGGAAUUGCCAAAGCAGGAAGAUGGAUUUCAGCUGGCAGAGGUUUGAUAACACAGUUGCUAACACAGCGUAAUUCUAUUUGGGUAUGUCUGUGUAAUGGCACGUGCAGUGCUGCAGAGGACAUGGAAAGGGACUGACAUCUUUGUUGGUGCACCAGAAGGAACAGAGUAAGGAACUGCUCCCAGGCUGCAAGGAUCAAUCUAUUCAGCCGUUGGUCUUUCUUCCCCCAGUGCCUGUUUUUUGCCCUCUGCUUCUUUUUCUCACCCAGGAAUCAGAAAAACAGCAACAGGUAUGAGAAGCAAGAGCUGCUUCCCAGCAGUAGGGAAUGGCGUGGGCUUAGCUGUGAACACUGAGUGAUGCUGAAUCCUCUGCCGCAUCACUGCUCUCACGGUCCCCAAGCCCUCCAGCAGCCUGGGAGCAGCAGACAAGGUGCUAAGGGCUCGGGGCCUUGCUGCUGGCGUGGGCUGCCCUUGGUGCUUCCAGGUAUGAAACACACGGGUUGUUUCAGGGCAUGCUCCUGCCCAUUGCAGCUAAAAAAGGAACGUGCCCCAAUCUGCAUUUGUUUAGAAAAACAGCUGAAAAUGCUUCUUCGGAACAGGUUUUCACUUUCCCGAGACUUUCUGUAGCAAUCUCAGGGUUCUUACAAUUUAAUUUACUUAAAUACACUGCCUUGGGGAAAAAACAAAACAAAAACAAACCACCCAAAAACCACCAUGCCCCAAACCCUGCAAUAUUUCUUCCACGGCUGUUACUAAAACCAUAAAGUCAUUGACUUCCAGAGUCAUAAAAACAGGAUUUAUUGUACAUUUCCUGCUCCAGCCUGGGUCUCGUUACAGCUCCCUCAGGUAGACAAAGCACAGGGGGACCAUUAACUUACGUUAAUAAUCUCUGUGUGGAUGGCUUGGAAGUGGAAAGGAAGAAGAAAAGGUUCUUUUAAUGCAGUCUCUUUCAGACUUGCAAUUUUUCAGGCUGUUUUUGUGAGACGGCUCAUUGUUAACUAUCCUGUGCCCUCGGGACAUGCAUGCAUAAUGGAGACAGUUUUCAGGUUAUGUUUGCUCACAUUACCUGUCUUGUUGAAAUCUCAGCAAAAAGCUGCUGCUUUGCACUCUGUGUUACUGGUACAAUCAAUAGCACAGGUAGGGAAACACACUGGUUAAUCUGCAAACACCUAGGAGCACAGUCUGACACACAUUUCAAAGACAAAUUGUGCCAACCACAGCUUUAGUUAAUACUGCUGAAGACACUCAGCCUACAGAAAUGAACACACGUGUGUCUGCCUCGGUCGUCUCAUUCUGCAGGGUGAACCUGUUUGCUGCUUGGGACUCUCCCAGCUUGUGUGGCUGUGCAGGCACUUAUGGCUCCUUGCUGAUGGAGUUCCCUACAUGCAAUGCUCACUUCCCAGCAGGAUGCUGGAACUUACACUUGCUUCAUGGCAGAACACUGCACUGCAGUGGGCCUGACAGAACAUCCGGCCACUUUGUGACUGAAAAGGUGAGGAAAAUAAGCCAAAACAUUCUUACAAUUAAGAAAUGUCACAAACCCCUAUUUUUCAGAGGCAUCAGAACUGAGGUUAAACAGGACCUUUGUUCCCAGUUCCACAAACAUGCCCCUCAGAUAACAGCACUGUGGACUACUGCAUUUGCCCAAGUAUUUGCAGAAUCAAUUUGCGUUGCAGAAAAUACUAAGAAAACAGCAGGAGGAGCUGAGCUGAGCACACACCCGAAGCACAGCUGGUUGGGCUGCACUUGGGCUCAUAGGCCAAAGAUUAGGAAAGUUUCUCUGCUUCCCCCCC
rnacentral:lncRNA from 1 species